rnacentral:rRNA from 1 species
GGUGAACGCUGGCGGUAGGCCUAACACAUGCAAGUCGAACGGCAGCACAGUAAGAGCUUGCUCUUACGGGUGGCGAGUGGCGGACGGGUGAGGAAUACAUCGGAAUCUACUUUUUCGUGGGGGAUAACGUAGGGAAACUUACGCUAAUACCGCAUACGACCUACGGGUGAAAGCAGGGGAUCUUCGGACCUUGCGCGAUUGAAUGAGCCGAUGUCGGAUUAGCUAGUUGGCGGGGUAAAGGCCCACCAAGGCGACGAUCCGUAGCUGGUCUGAGAGGAUGAUCAGCCACACUGGAACUGAGACACGGUCCAGACUCCUACGGGAGGCAGCAGUGGGGAAUAUUGGACAAAGGGCGCAAGCCUGAUCCAGCCAUACCGCGUGGGUGAAGAAGGCCUUCGGGUUGUAAAGCCCUUUUGCUGGGAAAGAAAAGCAGCAGGUUAAUACCCCGCUGUUCUGACGGUACCCAAAGAAUAAGCACCGGCUAACUUCGUG